GGGAGCCUCAUCAUCAUGUACAUAGAAAAGCAAGCUAUUAUUUUGUCAAAUACAGCUCCAUACAUCAUACAUAGGCUCAUUUUCAUCUGCAAGAAAAUCAUAGUCCUUAGAUUAUUGAUAUUUUUGAUACAUGUAAUGUAAUGUAAGUAAGCUUUUAGCUUACUGGGGUUUCUACUAGGUGAAAGCAUUCUUUGUGCUUUUCCAUUGUAAGAAUAAAAUUUAAGAGAACAGUUCCAGCUUUCCGAUAUCAUUUGGAUCAUUGAUCAAUUCUUUCCAGGUUCCCCUGUCAAAAUUCUUUUCUCCUUUCUCGGUAACUGAGGGUCGUCAUCCUUUUAAACAAUAUUCGCAUAUGAAAACCAAGUCGUUUAACGAGACACAACUUUCAUUUAUAAUACUUUCAUAAUAUUCAUUGUUCAGAAAAAUUAUGCUGUAAUCAUAAAUUUGUUGAAAAGAUUAGACAACAUUUUUAUAAGAAUUUCGAUUGAAACUUGAAACAUAUUUUACAAUUAUUUGCUUAAAGUACAUAAAUUUUAAUUAUUUGACUGGUUUUAAUUGUUGGUGUUAGAAUUUGAAUCCGGAUUUGUACCAUAAUGGAUGAAUUAAACAGGAUCCGAGUAUUUGUUAAAUAAAAAUAACUGCAUAUGAUAAAUAUGAACGUAUGUUUUUUCUUAAACAAGAACAAAACUUUCCUCUUAUUUGUCUCCAAAAGAAAACAAGAGAAAUAGAAACAAAACAGGGAUUUGAGGUGUGAAAUCAAAUUAGCCAUUUUUGUGAUUUUAAUUAUCAACCGAUGGACCCUUUCACUUCCUCAAACUAAAAAUUCAGCUAUGACAUUAGUUUUUAAAAGGCAUUAGUUUUCUUUAAUUGGUUCGACACUAUACAUCAUUUUUAAAAUUAACAGAUUUUGGUCUGUAAAAAUAAAAAUCAUAUGCCAAUUUACUUUAAAAUAAUAAUUUAACAUAAUUUUAAAUUAUUUCUGUCUUCGGUUUACAAGGUUUUCUUUACUCACCUCAUGAUAUGCUUCAUCAAAUUCAAAUACUUGCUUGCCCUUUCAUUUACAGUCCAUGCACGGGAGUAAAUGGAACUCUCUUGUGAACAGCUUUAUACAAUACGCAAACUAUAAAAAAAAAAAAAAAAAUUAAACACUCCUUAGAUUUGGAUUCUUGAUGAAGAUGUGAUGAUGAGCGGAAUGAUGUUUUCUUUACAUCUGAAACCUUUUUCUCAGAAUUUAGAGUUAUCGUAAGAGAUACAAGUGAAUAUCUUCCAUCUCAAUACCCAUGGGGGAAAAGGGAUCAGAUUUAGAUGGUCAACUCAUAGACAGAGAGAGAUUUGUGCAGGCAUAAUGAUUGGGAACUUAACUUCAACAGCAGGUUCCGAUGUUUCUUCAACCUUUUCUUUUUCUUCUUUACAAAUUAAUCUUCGCUGUGAAUAUUUUCCAUCCACUGACGGAUAACUUGACUCUUAAUUCUUUACAAAAUCUUCUGUGUGGAUCAGUAACUUUACAUCAUUUGUUUUUCGUUCAAACAAUUACUAAAAUAAAAAUAGGAAAAAAGAGAUAAUCAAAGUGUGUAGGUAAUGAUGAUUUGAUGGUUUCCUUUAUAAGUCUAAGAGAUAUCAAAUAAAUUAGAAAUUUAAUAUAAAAGAAAUCAAAGCUAAAACAGUUACGCCUUUUGUAUGGAGUGAAAGGAACCUACACAAAGUCAGGGUACACACGCUACGGAUCCUCCUUCUCUUUCC
rnacentral:lncRNA from 1 species